rnacentral:rRNA from 1 species
UACAGAGGUCUCAAGCGUUGUUCGGAUUCAUUGGGCGUAAAGGGCGCGUAGGCGGUGAACACAGUUAGGCGUGAAAUUCCCGGGCUCAACCUGGGGGCUGCGUUUAAUACAUGUUCGCUUGAGUUCGGAAGAGGGUCGUGGAAUUCCCAGUGUAGAGGUGAAAUUCGUAGAUAUUGGGAAGAACACCGGUGGCGAAGGCGGCGACCUGGUCCGAUACUGACGCUGAGGCGCGAAAAGCGUGGGGAGCAAACAGG